rnacentral:rRNA from 1 species
AUGGCCUCGUCCGCCCCCUCCGCCGACGCCGGCGACGACAAGCCCGCGGAGAGCGCCCCGGUCAGCCCCACCGGCCCCGAUCCCCACAGGAAUAUCGGCUCCCCGUCGCCGCCGCCCUCUUCCCCGGUGACGUCGUCGGGCGAUGGUGGUGCGUCGGUGACGGGGACGACGGAGGAUUUCUACCCGCUGCCGCUGUGGGCCUUGGAGGAGCGGGCGUGCAGCUCGUGCGCGCGCAAGAAGAUGCUCCGCAAGGAGUGGGAGGCGGCGCGCGGCCUCGAUCUCCUAGUUAGAUCCCUCCGCAGUGACGACGGGGUGCCAUCGUCGUCGCCGUCGGCGCCGGUGCAGGGGCCGGGGACGGAGCUUCAGGACCCGCUGGCGCCCCCGGCAACAUGGUGGUGCGACCCGUGCGAGCAGCACAAGAAGUCGUUGCGCGACUGGCGUCUCCGAAGGGAGGGCAAGCUCCCCCCGCCGCCCCCGCCGCCGCCGCCGCCGCCCCCGUCAUCGGGGAUGCCGUUCUACUUUGGGAUACCAGUGCUUGGUAGCACUAAGUCGAUACUGAAGCUGGGGCGGAGGCUGCAGGAGGAGGCGCGGCGCGGGAAGAAGCGGCCUCUCUCGGUGGCGGAGGAGAGGGGGUAUCGCGAGUGCGACGUGGGCAAGAGGGUGAUGCGCCAUAAGCGGGACGAGCCGCCCCUGGACACGGCCGGCAUUGGCGCCGCGGCUAGAGUACGCGAUGCGCUCACGAAGAUGAUGCCUGAGCCUGGUACGCGUAGGGGCGUGCGCCGCGUGGACUACUCCAAGUUGACGCCGCUCGUGGGGUCGCGGGAGCCCAGCUCCAGCGACGCGGCUGGAGAAGACGUUUUGCACGACGAGGCGCUUCAAAUCAUCGAAGGACAGCCAGAGGGGCUCCAUGAGGUCAGCUCCGCCCAGUGGUUUGCCCUACAGGUCUCAACGGAGUUCAUGCGGCUGCUGGACCCACAGGUGGGUUCUAGCGCCGCAGCUGAGGGCGAUCUGGACGGGAGGCUGGAUGAGGAGGCGAUAGACAAUUUGCUGAAUGGGGAGGGCAUGGAGGACAUUGUCAAAACAUCGAUACCAAAAGCUUAUUCCAAGGAGAUUCUUUAUGACUUAAUAGUGGAGUGUGUUGCACAAUACCGAAAGUGGCUGUUGGAUAACAGAGACAAGUUAGAUAAGGAAAAAUACAAGCAGUGCCUGAAGCAGCUUCUACCCAUGGCGAAACUUACUUCGGUUUAUGAUAAGGAGCCUGAGAAUUUGUCCAAGAUAAUGAAACUCAUGUACAAGGUCGGAGAAUAUGGUCCACCUCCCAGUGGUGUCAUUCAUGCUAUAUCUCCUCGUCUUUAUCAGAGUACCAUGGAGCAACUCGCCGCUGCUGGAGCAGUAGACGUUUUGCACAAUAAGGUGCCGCAAGUCAUCAAAGCACAGACAGAGGGACUCCAUGAGGGCUGCUCUGCCCAGAGGUUGGCCGGACAAGUCUCAACGAAGUUCAUGCGGCUGCUGGACCCAGAGGUGGGUUCUGGUGCCGCAGCUGGAGGCAAUCUGAACCGGAGGCUUGAUGAGGACGCCAUAGACAAUUUGCUGAAUGUGGAGGGCAUGCAGGACAUUGUCAAGACAUCGAUACCGAAAGUUUAUUCCAAGGACAUUCUUUAUGAGCUCUUUAAGGAGUAUGUUGGACAAUACCCAAAGUGGCUGGAAGAUAACAAGGAAAAGUUAGAUAAGGAAAACUAUGAACAGUAUGUGAAGCAGUUUGAGUCCAUGGUCAACCUUACUACUGUUUAUGAUGACGAGCCUGAGAAUUUCUCUAUGAUAAUGAAACUCAUGUACAAGAUCGGAGAAUAUGGUCCACCUCCCAGUGGUGUCAUUCAUGCUGCAUCUCCUCGUGUUUAUGAGAGUACCAUGCAGAAAGUGUCUACUGGGAUGGUCGAGCUGCUGCAGAAAUAUGACAAAUUGUUCUCUGUUGAUACCAGUCCUUCUACCACAUGA